rnacentral:rRNA from 1 species
UACGUAGGGGGCAAGCGUUGUCCGGAUUUAUUGGGCGUAAAGAGCGUGUAGGCGGCUAGGUAGGUCCGUUGUGAAAACUCGAGGCUCAACCUCGAGACGCCGGUGGAAACCAUCUAGCUAGAGUCCGGAAGAGGAGAGUGGAAUUCCUGGUGUAGCGGUGAAAUGCGCAGAUAUCAGGAAGAACACCCGUGGCGAAGGCGGCUCUCUGGGACGUGACUGACGCUGAGACGCGAAAGCGUGGGGAGCAAACAGG